rnacentral:snoRNA from 1 species
UUUCUGGAUUCCCCAUCCAUCCCCUAGAUGUGCCGCGAUAUUUUCCUUAUAUGAUCAGGCCUCAUUAUGGGCAGCCCUGCUUGCUCAGAGCCUGAGAGGAUUAUGAAAAUGCAUUAGGCGACGUGGGGCCCGGGGACCGGGA